UUUCUUAGGCUGGCCACAAUGAAAGGCCUGAGUGUUUUGUCAGGCCAUGCUGAUAUGAGCCAUGGAUAUGAGUCCAUGCUGGCCUGACAAAACACUAUUUUCUGCCGCAGCUCCCCCCACGAUCCAACUGCCAGCUUUUGUUCAAUGUUUCAACUAAGAUUUGGCAGUGUGCCUGGACUUUGUGCUACUGCUGUUUUUGCUGCCUUGCUGUGAGCAGUCUCCCACUCCCUCCCUAAAGUUGCCACCACCUCCUAUUACCUCCUCCUCUCUUGUAUCUCUCUAACCGUCCUCCUCCCCUCUCCCCCUCCUCCUUUACCUCCUCCUCCUCCACAGUGUCUUGUGGAUUGAGUGUGUGGAGCUGUCAGUCCCUGGCUGGGCCUGCCAAGCUGCACGUCCUGGUCAGAGGGGAGGCCGGGGCAAAUGGUCGGGGCGUCGUUGUGGGUCCGGCCGACCUCCCACCACUGAGCAGUGGACCCCCUCAACAGAUUGAGCCUCCAGCUGGCCGGCACGGGUCCGCCUUGGCCCCAUGCUGAGGGCACACAUGCCACAAAACACAAAUUCCCACUUGCACGCUAACACUAACACUAACACACUCAAACAUGCACAGACACACAAACACCAGUCUGCAGAGUACUCAUUCACAGCAAUUUAAAUAAAGAUCAUGCUCUAAAGACAA